AGAGAAGCCACCACAGUGAAAAGCCCGCGCACCACAACAAAGAAUCUUAGGUCCAUGACCAGGGAUCAGCAGUGAAGGUGCAGUGUCCUAACCACUGGACCACCAGGGAAUUCCUAAAGGUGGUGAUGGAAGGCAUUUCUGAAGAGGGGAUGUAUGAAAUGACACAUGAAAGACAGGAAAGAGGCAUCUCGCAUGGAUCCAUGGAGGAGCAGUCCAGUGAAUGGAACAGUGGAUGCAAAGGUCCAGAGGUAGGAACAAGUUGGGCAGGUUUAUGGAACGAAAAGAAGGCCUGUAAGGCUGAAGCAUAGUAAGCAAAGAUGGGGAGAAUAGUUGGAGAUAAGGUCAAAGAGGUAGAAUAAACUAAAUCAGGAAGAGCCUUCAAGAUAUUUGGAUUUGAUUCUAAGAGAAAUGGGAGGCCGUAGGAAGGUUUUAAGCAGGGGAGUACUGUGAUAUGGUUUAUAUUAUUGAAAAAUGUAUUCUGGCUGUUGUGUGAAUAAUGCAUUAGAAGAAUGAUAGAAUAGAAGCAGGGAAAACCAUUUAGGAGACUGCUGUGGAGGUCCAGGUGGAAGACGAUGGUGGCUUGGCCAAUGAUGUUAGCAGCAGAUGUAAAGAGAAUUAGACAGAUCCAAAGAUUUUUUCCAAUACAUUGGUUCUAUGAUUUUCAGAGGAAAUUAAUUUUUUAUUUCAAAAAGAAAAAUAAUGUAGGCAUGCAAGAAACACAAACGUUUAACUUUUAGUGCCUAUGAUUUCACAAUGGCUUGUACACUUAACAUUGUUUGCGGAUGGGAAAGGCAUUCUUUAAAACGAGAGCACUGAUGAAAUCAGUGUCAUACUGGUG